AGAGUUUGAUCAUGGCUCAGGAUGAACGCUGGCGGCGUGCCUAACACAUGCAAGUCGAACGAAGCACCUUACUUGAUUCUUCGGAUGAAGGUCUGGUGACUGAGUGGCGGACGGGUGAGUAACGCGUGGGUAACCUGCCCUGUACAGGGGGAUAACAGCUGGAAACGGCUGCUAAUACCGCAUAAGCGCACGAGGAGACAUCUCCUAGUGUGAAAAACUCCGGUGGUACAGGAUGGGCCCGCGUCUGAUUAGCUGGUUGGCAGGGUAACGGCCUACCAAGGCAACGAUCAGUAGCCGGUCUGAGAGGAUGAACGGCCACAUUGGAACUGAGACACGGUCCAGACUCCUACGGGAGGCAGCAGUGGGGAAUCUUCCGCAAUGGGCGCAAGCCUGACGGAGCAACGCCGCGUGAGUGAAGAAGGGUUUCGACUCGUAAAGCUCUGUUGUCGGGGACGAACGUGGAGACGGCGAAUAGCCGUUUCCAAUGACGGUACCUGACGAGGAAGCCACGGCUAACUACGUGCCAGCAGCCGCGGUAAUACGUAGGUGGCGAGCGUUGUCCGGAAUUAUUGGGCGUAAAGGGAGCGCAGGCGGGAAGGUAAGUCUAUCUUAAAAGUGCGGGGCUCAACCCCGUGAGGGGAUGGAAACUAUCUUUCUUGAGUGCAGGAGAGGAAAGCGGAAUUCCUAGUGUAGCGGUGAAAUGCGUAGAUAUUAGGAGGAACACCAGUGGCGAAGGCGGCUUUCUGGACUGUAACUGACGCUGAGGCUCGAAAGCGUGGGGAGCGAACAGGAUUAGAUACCCUGGUAGUCCACGCCGUAAACGAUGAAUGCUAGGUGUAGGAGGUAUCGACCCCUUCUGUGCCGGAGUUAACGCAAUAAGCAUUCCGCCUGGGGAGUACGGCCGCAAGGCUGAAACUCAAAGGAAUUGACGGGGGCCCGCACAAGCGGUGGAGUAUGUGGUUUAAUUCGACGCAACGCGAAGAACCUUACCAGGGCUUGACAUUGAGUGAAAGGACAAGAGAUUGUCCCCUCUCUUCGGAGACACGAAAACAGGUGGUGCAUGGCUGUCGUCAGCUCGUGUCGUGAGACGUUGGGUUAAGUCCCGCAACGAGCGCAACCCCUAUCCUUUGUUGCCAGCACGCAAUGGUGGGAACUCAAAGGAGACUGCCGCGGACAACGCGGAGGAAGGCGGGGAUGACGUCAAGUCAUCAUGCCCCUUACGUCCUGGGCCACACACGUACUACAAUGGGAUGGACAGAGAGCAGCGAAGCCGCGAGGCCAAGCGAACCCCAUAAACCAUCUCCCAGUUCGGAUUGCAGGCUGCAACCCGCCUGCAUGAAGUUGGAAUCGCUAGUAAUCGCAGGUCAGCAUACUGCGGUGAAUACGUUCCCGGGCCUUGUACACACCGCCCGUCACACCACGGAAGUCAUUCACACCCGAAGCCGGCAGGCUAACCUUUAUGGAGGCAGCCGUCUAAGGUGGGGGCGAUGACUGGGGUGAAGUCGUAACAAGGUA
rnacentral:rRNA from 1 species